GGGCCGCUAGCUCAGUCGGUAGAGCAAUUCCCUUUUAAGGAAUGGGUCCCCCGUUCGAACCGGGGGCGGCUCA
rnacentral:tRNA from 1 species